rnacentral:lncRNA from 1 species
CUUACUGAGGACAUAACCCUAAAUAGGAAUAUCUGGAGGAUGCGAAUUAGGAUAGAAGACUAGUGUCAGUUUGGGUCGCUAGUGUAGGUAUUACUUGGUGGAUGUAUUAUUCUUGCUAAGACACCUUGUUUCAUACUCUAUUACGAUUUUGUUUACUUUUCUUUGGUUACUAUUACUUGUGGGUGUCGUAUUUAUGUUAUGUCAUCAUGUUCUAUGCUUUAUUAUGGAUUUGAUUAUUAUUCCUUGUCUUGAGCCAGGGGUCUAUCGAAAACAGCUUUUCUACUUCUUCGGAGGUAGUGGUAUAGACUGCGUACAUCUUACCCUCCCCAGAUCCCACUAUGUGGGAAUACACUGAGUUUGUUGUUGUUGUUGUUGUUGUUGUUGUUCUUUCAACAAUGCAGCCCCUACCACCGGUCCUCC